rnacentral:rRNA from 1 species
UGAUUGGAAAUGAGCAUCAAGGAGGGUGACAAUCCCGUCCAUGCCGCGGUAUCGAUCAGCGCGCGUCCGGCCCGCUUUCGACGAGUCGAGUUGCUUGGGAUUGCAGCUCAAAGAGGGUGGUAAACUCCAUCCAAAGCUAAACACGGGGGGGAGACCGAUAGCGAACAAGUACCGUGAGGGAAAGAUGCAAAGAACUUUGAAAAGAGAGUUAAAGAGUGCCUGAAAUUGCUGGAAGGGAAGCGAAGGAAAGAAGUGUGCGGUUGCCCGGGCGCCAACCCCUACCUGUCCGCAGGUGGGGGUAGGCCGCCCGGCCGCGGUCAGGGGUUGCGCCGGGCUCGGGGGAAGAGCCGUCGGGGAUCGGUAGGCGUGCCGCUUCGCGGGGCGCUGUCAGGCCUCGGUGGUGAUUUGUUUUUGCCCUGAGCCCGGCCCCCUUCUGGCGGUCGCGGCUUUUCUUCACCCCGUCUUGNNNCGGCGCGGCGGCGGCGGCAGCAGCUGCCGUUGUUGUUGUUUGUUGGAAUGGCUGGUCGUUAGUGGGCCAGUCCGGGUAAGCUGGACUGGCGAUGCGGGAUGAACCGAACGCCUAGAUGAAGCGCCUCACUGCCCGCUCACCUAGAUCCCACAAAAGGUGUUGGUU